GAUGAACGCUGGCGGCGUGCCUAAUACAUGCAAGUCGAGCGAACAGACGAGGAGCUUACUUUUCUGACGUUAGCGGCGGACGGGUGAGUAACACGUGGAUAACCUACCUAUAAGACUGGGAUAACUUCGGGAAACCGGAGCUAAUACCGGAUAAUAUUUUGAACCGCAUGGUUCAACAGUGAAAGACGGUCUUGCUGUCACUUAUAGAUGGAUCCGCGUCGCAUUAGCUAGUUGGUAAGGUAACGGCUUACCAAGGCAACGAUGCGUAGCCGACCUGAGAGGGUGAUCGGCCACACUGGAACUGAGACACGGUCCAGACUCCUACGGGAGGCAGCAGUAGGGAAUCUUCCGCAAUGGGCGAAAGCCUGACGGAGCAACGCCGCGUGAGUGAAGAAGGUCUUCGGAUCGUAAAACUCUGUUAUUAGGGAAGAACAAAUGUGUAAGUAACUAUGCACGUCUUGACGGUACCUAAUCAGAAAGCCACGGCUAACUACGUG
rnacentral:rRNA from 1 species